UUUGUGUGUAAUGGGGGCAUCAAAUGAACAUGUGCAGCACUGCAGCAUGUUUUUCGGUGAUGACAUACAGAGUUAUUGUAUCAUAUCCUAUUCAGAGUAAAACUCACAUUGGUGGAUUUCUGGCCUGAGAAGAUGAAAUGGAAAUGAAGGAAGUCGAGAGGCUGGCCAGCAUAAGUUCAAAUUAAGAUCUGCGUUGUGACAUAUCUGGUCACAACUCACCCUGUAGUUCUUCAGUAGAAGUGACCACGACGAAAAAUUAGCUGAAAAUAUGGGUGUGUCAACAGUUUAUAGGGACUGAAACUAUAUCUCAAAGACCAGGGCAGGGCUGACCAUGUGUGACUUCAGAAGAGAGGACCAUCAUUUGGCUGUUAGGGGAUGAUAAUACUGCCUUAAUACUGCACGGCAACUGGAAUGUGAACUCGCAGCAUCCAAUGGACCUGUUGUAUCUAGGCAAAUGGUGUGCAGAAGGCUUCACCACAGUGGUCUUUAUUGUCAGAGACCUACUGUAUGUCUACGUCUGAUGUGUCUUCACAGAAUGGAACAUGUAGAGUGGAAUCAUCAAUGAGCCACGUUGGCGGUCGAACAGUGGGCCAAUGUUUUUUUUUUCACAGAUGAGUCCCAAUUUAGACUGGAGAGUGAUUAUCAAUGGAUUUGCAUCUGAAGGGAACACUGUAAUGUGACACCCUCCUUAAACACUACAUUUUUUUUUAUAGAAGUAACUGAUAGCUGGAUUAAACCCGAAUCUCAUAUAGGCCAACACUAUCUCAGCUGUUUAACCACAAGAAAUUCAUGAUUCUGUAUAUGAUAUAUUAUAUUUCAGGCUAAAAUGUAUAAAAAAGAAAUAAAUUGUUGCAAUUGUUACGUGCUAAUCUGUAAGUGUGGUUAUAAUUACUCUUCUUAAAUUAUGAAAUUUCUGGUAUACUUAAAAUUCAUAUUAUUAAUUGCACAAUCUGACAAUAAUUAAAAAAUUUAUUUCUGUACUCAUUUAUAAAAUAAUGAUAUAACUUGAAGAUUUUUCUUUUGUCAAGAAAGUUUAUAAAAUCUUUUUGCUUUGUAAACUCUUUGGAAUAUUGUGGGUACCACAGAAUGUAGGGAGUAGUGGGCAUGCCUCUAAUGGAAGGAGACGUUUUUAUAAGUUUGUGAACUACAAUGUAAUUAUUGUCUUUUUGUUUUAAUGUGGAAAAUGUAAAGAUGGUGUGAUAUUUAAUAAUGUGUCAAAGAAUAAAA